rnacentral:lncRNA from 11 species
GAAAAUGGAACAUUCUAAAAACAGUGGAGAAAGGACUCAUCUGCACUAACAUGAAAACAUGCACUGUGUUGAUUUCUGGCCAUGAUGCUUCUAGACUUCUGAACCACGAAAAACUCAUUCUACAGGAGCAGAAGAUAACCCCCCCCUUUUUAAAGCAUGCAGUUGCAAAUGACUUAUACAUCAAGC